GGGCGGCGGGCGGGGCUAAGGGUUACCUUGGAGCCGGAGCUCGGUUGGUGAUUGGUGGAGAACGCUUGGGAACGACAGCGGACGGCCGCUAGGGGCGCCAGUGUCAAGGGAAGAGCCCGCGCUCUGCUCUCCCACUGUGAAGCUCAGAUUUAUAUGGGGACCGCGAGAAAGGUUAUUCGGCAGAAAGAGAGGGAAUCUAACAGCCAUAACAAUGUGUUUGCCAAUACAGGUCCAACGUCCAUUUCUAGAUUGUGGUGAUAAACUGCAAGAACACAUCAAUAAACACCAGGAUGAACAAGCAGAAUAACAAGGCAGAUAUUAUCCAACUCUCAAAUAGAAGGCAAAUGUAGUGAAAAAUAUAAGACAUGCAAGAAAUACCUAGUGCUGUGAGUACAGAAAAGUAAAGGAAGGUGGCCAGUUUUCUAGUCUUCAAGUGGAAGCAAGUCUUGGACCUUUUCUAGUCUCUCCAACACAAGUUUCACCAAUGGAAAAAAGGAGACUGUCCUG